rnacentral:rRNA from 1 species
CGGAGGAAAGAAACCAACAGGGAUUGCCUUAGUAACGGCGAGUGAAGCGGCAAUAGCUCAAAUUUGAAAGCUGGCCCCUUCGGGGUCCGCGUUGUAAUUUGUAGAGGAUGAUUCGGCGAGGGCUCCCGUCUAAGUCCCUUGGAACAGGGCGUCAUAGAGGGUGAGAAUCCCGUAUGUGAUGGGCUGCCUUAGCCAUGUGAAUCUCCUUCGACGAGUCGAGUUGUUUGGGAAUGCAGCUCUAAAUGGGAGGUAAAUUUCUUCUAAAGCUAAAUACCGGCCAGAGACCGAUAGCGCACAAGUAGAGUGAUCGAAAGAUGAAAAGCACUUUGGAAAGAGAGUUAAAAAGUACGUGAAAUUGUUGAAAGGGAAGCGCUUGCAGCCAGACUUGUCCGCAGUUGCUCAGCUUGUCUCCUGACAGGCGUACUCUUCUGCGGCCAGGCCAGCAUCAGUUCGGGCGGUCGGAUAAAGACCUGGGGAAUGUAGCUCCUCUCGGGGAGUGUUAUAGCCCUGGGUGCAAUGCGGCCAGCCUGGACUGAGGAUCUCGCUUCGGCUAGGAUGCUGGCGUAAUGGCUGUAAGCGGCCCGUCUUGAAACACGGACCAAGGAGUCUAACAUCUAUGCGAGUGUUUGGGUGUCAAACCCAUGCGCGUAAUGAAAGUGAACGGAGGUGGGAACCCUCACGGGUGCACCAUCGACCGAUCCUGAUGUCUUCGGAUGGAUUUGAGUAAGAGCAUAGCUGUUGGGACCCGAAAGAUGGUGAACUAUGCCUGAAUAGGGUGAAGCCAGAGGAAACUCUGGUGGAGGCUCGCAGCGGUUCUGACGUGCAAAUCGAUCGUCAAAUUUGGGUAUAGGGGCGAAAGACUAAUCGAACC